rnacentral:rRNA from 1 species
CGGUGAGUGAAGAAGGCCUUCGGGUUGUAAAGCUCUUUUGUCAGGGAAGAAACACCGGCUCUAACACAGUCCGGGAAUGACGGUACCUGAAGAAUAAGCACCGGCUAACUACAUGCCAGCAGCCGCGGUAAUACGUAGGGUGCGAGCGUUAAUCGGAAUUACUGGGCGUAAAGCGUGCGCAGGCGGUUAUACAAGACAGGCGUGAAAUCCCCGGGCUUAACCUGGGAAUGGCGCCUGUGACUGUAUAGCUAGAGUGUGUCAGAGGGGGGUAGAAUUCCACGUGUAGCAGUGAAAUGCGUAGAUAUGUGGAGGAAUACCAAUGGCGAAGGCAGCCCCCUGGGAUAACACUGACGCUCAUGCACGAAAGCGUGGGGAGCAAACAGGAUUAGAUACCCUGGUAGUCCACGCCCUAAACGAUGCUGACUAGUUGUUCGGGAUUUACAUCCUGAGUAACGUAGCUAACGCGUGAAGUCAGCCGCCUGGGGAGUACGGUCGCAAGAUUAAAACUCAAAGGAAUUGACGGGGACCCGCACAAGCGGUGGAUGAUGUGGAUUAAUUCGAUGCAACGCGAAAAAGCUUACCUACCCUUGACAUGUCACUAACGAAGUAGAGAUACAUUAGGUGCUCGUAAGAGAAAGUGAACACAGGUGU